UUGGGUGUUAGGGUUCAGGAGCAGGUCCAGGGCUCCUUAUUUUAUAUGUUGUUUAUUGUUCAAAGGAAGCUUGAAUAGUACUGUUACAGGUUUUUCACAUCCAAUUUGUUUAAGUAGGAAAUCAGAAUAGUACUACCAUGCCUCAGUUAUCUUAAACAAUCACACAUUGGUCAUUUUGUCACCACCACGGCCCAUGUGUCUAUGGCCAAAACGGAAUCCAAUAGGAAACAUCUAUUUUUUCUCACACCGUAUUAGUGAGGAAGACAGGUCUCAAGGACGUUAUCAAAGUCCCUUUCCCAUAUUCGGAGUCUCGGCUCUUAGACAAAUUCCUCAUCCUCUCCUUUGAUAUUUUAGCCCCUUAAUCAUUUUAAAUCAACAGUCCAUAACUGACAGUUCUGGUGAUUAAGUGACUUUAUAAUGACAGAGCUGGAGUUUAAAUUUCUGCCUACGUCUUCUCUAAGUUGGUGACCUAAUUGUAGCUGAUUCUUCCAAUAGAAAUACUCACUUGUUAACCUCAAGUUAUUUCUGGGCACAGCUGAAAUAAAACAAAUUGCUUUUUAAGCUUACAAUUCCAGGUUCUGUGUCUUAUUUUCCAUCUCUUCUUGUCUGUUUUUCCAUGUAAGUUUUAUCUGCUACCUAUAAACCAUGAAAAACAAAUUAUUCCAUUUGAACCUUUGGAAAACACUGCUCACUGGCAAAAAAUCACAUUGUCUGAUACUUUUUCUCGUUUUGAGUUUCUGGAAGGGAAAUCCUCCUUAUGGAGAGACUUAACUUUCCAUCAGUAAUGGGAAAAACCAGUUCUCUCGGGGUAGUGGAGAUGGCUUUAUAAGAGAAAACUCAGCAGAAAUAAAAAUCUGCAAAACUGAUUUUUAAUUCACGUCUCUUUCUUCAGUGAUCCUAUCUGUGAGACAGGACAUUGAAAAAAUCAUAGGGCCAAACAGCAUGGCACACUUUGGAAAUUCUUAUUUCAUUUGAGGGCUAUUUAAAUGUGACCUUUAUAACUUUAAACAACAGACCCUCCCCCUCAUAUCUUCUCAGGCAAAUCUCAUCCCCAGUCCACGUAUGGCUCCGGACAUGGUCCUCUUUAUGUGAGGCGACCAUACUGGCUUGGCCUAUGCUCCUUGGUGGAUAAAUUACAUGGUUAUUUCCUUUGUGUGACUUUCCCUAGGUGGUUGCAGAUGUCUUAUUUAGAAAGAAAACAGUAUGGGUAAAUGAGUUUUAGAGAACUUAGUGUUCUAUUUAUAGGAAAAGAGUAGGAUCCAAAGGGGUUCUCUGACACAAAGCCAACAUCAAAGUAAUAAUAGCAGAUCCUUAUAUGGUUCUUACUCUUAAGUCAGGCAAGCUUCUAAGUGUGUUAUAUAUUGACUCCAUUAAUCCUUAAAAAACAUAGCAGGGUAGGUGUUAUUAUCCCAUCUUAUAGCAAGUUGCUCGCCCCAAGCCAUGCACCAACAGGGGCAAAGCAUUUUUGGGGGUCAGUCAACCUACUUCUAGAGUCUAGAGUCUGUUUGCAGAACCAGCACUUCUGACUCUUGGUCCUACCCUUUGUACUGUAUUGUUGCUUUGAGGCUAAGAGAAGAAAAAGCAUGUAAGUGAAAAUUCAGCCCAAUUUUUAAAAGCUAUUUCUAUAUUACUAGAAAUAUCAUCACAGUACUCUGAAAUGCACAGAUAUGGAAUAGACUUACCUGAUGGCUAGGGUUAUAUAACAAGUUAUGUUUUGGUCAACAGUAGACUACAUAUUUGUUGGUGGUCCCAUUAGACUACAUCACUUCCUGAUACUGUAGCUGCCUUAGCUUGUGUACCUACACUCCAUGAUCGUCACACAAUAAUGAGAGUGCCUACCAACAUAUUUCUCAGAAUGUAUCCUGUUAAGUUACCCAUGACUGUGUAUGUCUUCAGGGAACAUAAUCAAAAUAUUGAGCAAUAUAUAUAUAGCACAUAUAACAAGGAAAACGGCUAUCAAAUGACAAAUAUGUCUACCUCCAUAUAGAAUGCCAGAAUAUCAGUUGGUCAUUCUAUAGUAACACCUGUUUGUCAAGGCCCACCUGAAUUAAGCCAUAAAUCCCACCAAGCCACAUAUGUACCUACCUAAUUCUCUGAUGAAACACUUGGUUAAGCACCAGUGGAUAAAUGUUUCUUAUUCAAUAUUGUUUGAUUGUAAUUAUAGAGAAUGCAUUAUCUUCUGACUUAUAAACCCAUGCCAAAAAGAAAUGAACUGGCCAUUAAUACUGACUUAAAGGAAAGAUUUAAGGUUUACAUAUAAAGCAAGGAGAGUAUCUUGGAGCAUGAGUUCCAGAAUUUUUCUCUCAUUCCAUGGGGUGUAGGUCACAGGUAACAUUCCAGAAGUAGGACAUUAGAAUAUAUGCAGUAUUCUUGAGCCGUGGCAGUUCCAGGUAGCUCUGCAGAAGCCUGACCAAAAGAACAGACUCUACUCUCUCAGCUCAAGGGACAUGCUGUGAUGGUGUUGUUUUUGACUGAGAACUCUGGCAACGGAGACCCCAAGGUCACCUAAAACCUUUCUGCCUCCAGGUGGCUUAGAAAAACAUGCCUCCAUAUCAGAAAAAAAAAAAAAGAAGGAAAGAAAGAAACCUUCAAGCAGACCGAGAUUUAAAUAAUAAAACAGCCCACAGCUUAUCAACAGAACUGGCAGAAACAUCAGACUAUCCCUUAAUUACCCUCUACAGCUGUUCAUAAAUACCGGAAUUUCCUUGCCCUGAUCUGGCUCACAAAAUAAGCAGCAAAUGUUGGAAAACUUAGUGUUUUUUAACCAGGAAACAUGCAACUGUGAAAUAUGUGAGUCUGUGGCAGACAAGAAACAAAAAAUUUUUUUUCCAGUCAAGUAAUGUUCUCCCAGUGACUUCUUGUUAUUCUGUUAAAAAUAAAGUCCUUAAGCUUGACAAUAUUUUUUCCUCCCGAGAAAGAACAAAUAAUAGCACAUCAAAAUUUUUUGUUACAUACUUGAAGAUAGUAAAAAGGAAUGUUCAUUUCUUUUUCAUUCCCAUUUAUUUACCCACAUGGCCCACCAUUUUGGGGGUUCUACAGUAAACGAACCAAGAAGGAGCAUCCUCAUACUCACCGAUGGAAAGUAAGUCAUUGUGCAAGAAUGUUUGGACAGAUUGCUCACUGGACAUGAGACACUCCUUACUCCAUGAAGACACUGGACAUUUUCCACGUUGCCUCAUGGACCCAUAAUGAAACUAUGAAGUAAGCGAGGAAACAGUCACAUCCCUUUCAUAGCUAUGGGUCACAUGAGGAGGGUAUUGAGUCACAGAUGGAGACAGCAUUCAGCCUCUCCAGAGACUGCCCACAUACAGGCUUAUGUCCAUGUCACUCCUGAGUGUUGUCAAAAGAAAAAAGCGUUCUCCAACUGGAAGAUAUUUUAAAAAAAUAAAUAACAUUCUUGCCGAUUAUUAUUAUAUUGAUCAAAAUAUCCAUUCCAGGAAAUGAUAAACAAUUGAUCUUUGGAACAGUGGGAAAUUCAAUACCACAUAGACCCACAUAGAUGAAGUGGAUAAUUUUGAUUACAAAAAACAACAGGAAUUUAUGCAGUACCCACAGUCAAUAAAACAACAACAAAAACAACAAUAUGCUCAACCACUCUAUUCAAUUGUCAAAAAUUUUAUUAUGUUAACACAGGUGUCACCAGGAGUAUCCAUCUAGUUGGUUAAAAUAAAUAUUUUCAAAGCUGUCACUUAAAGGAAGAACAGUCCCUGUGUAACUGAGGCCAUUUAGUGAGCCAGUGUAAGUUCGAGUCUUCAGAAAUAUAUUAUGUUGAUGGUCUCCUCGUGCUGUUUUGUUUUGCAGGAUCUACAUAUGGUAUUUUCUUGACUUUUCUAUCCCCAUCACCUACCAACAUGCCUGGUAAAAUAUCAAUAGAUAACAGUGAUCUUACAGCCAAAGAUAAGUGUAAACAACUAACGUGUGAGUGACCACAGUCUAGUCCAAAGAGAUUCCCUCUCCAGAAGUUCUCGAGUUUUCUGUUUGACCUUUGCAUCUAAUCUUCAUAUGGCAUCUCUGGCACUUGUCAUCCUGCUUGACUUGGAGAUUAUUUCUAUCUACCUUUCUGUAAUGCAACCUUUAUCGGACACUAGAGCUUCCAGCAUAGCAUACCUGAGCAAGCUGGGUCUGCCGUGCAAUAUCGUAGCCAGGGGGAUGAAAAUUACUUCUCAGGGGUGAAAAGAAUCUUAGACAUCACGAUGUCUGUGGCUGGAGGACUCCAGUGUUCAAUCCUCCCCAACAAAAUCUUAUUCCUCAGUAUUUCUUUUCCCUCAGGGAGAAUUUAAAUUUUAUUUUUCUUCUGGGGAGAGUAAUAAGUAAUGAUAAUGAAAAAGAGCCUAUAGGUUUGGGGAAAUUUUUCAACUUAAGAAAGUAGGCAGGUGACAGUAUAUUCAUGCAAGAUAUCCACCAAUAAAUACUAAUGCCAAAUUUAAGCAAGAGCUGCAUAUUAAUCUUCAAUUUCAGUAAUCUCAUUGUUAAGCUCAAAUAGUAUGAAAGAGAUUUAUUUUUAAUUAGUAACUUUUUUCUAAAAAAAGGGCCAAUUACUGUAUUUUAAGUAUCUCCCUCCUAUGAGACGUGAACAACUGUCAGAACAAAAUCCUUAAACUGUAAUUUGUCCUGAUUUUAUUAGUACUGACUCAAAAAUAUUCAAUAGCAUCUCUUACAGAUGAAUAUACAAUCCAUUGGCUAUAAACCUAAGAACCUCCACUGUUUUGGCCUGACCUAUUUUUCCAAAAUUACUUUCCUCACCUCUUCUCUGUGAGCUCUAUACUCCAACAAAUAAACCUAUCAUAGCUCUGCUUUUGCUUUUACCCGUGCUGUUUCUCCUCCAAGGCUGUCUUUCCCUCCUCCCUACCAACUCUGCACCCAACUACCCGUCUAUGUCCUACAUCACUGAUGUCACAAAGAGCCUUGCAGUCAUGACUCUCUCUUCCUUCCCAAAAUGGAAGUGCUCUUCCCUACCCUCUGCUGUCACACAGCUCACCAUUUGGACAACUCUUAAGAAGUUCCACACUUCCCACCAUGUGAAAAAAUCCUGAGCCACAGAACUUUGGCCUAAUUUCUAGUCACCAAAGGCCUGAUGGGAAAAGCUAGAGAAAGGCCUGGGGGCAACAUUUCUAUCUAGUACAGGUGAAUAUCCCUAAUCUUAAAAUCAGAAAUACUGCAAAAUCCAACAUUUUUGAGCAUGGACAUGAUGCUACAAGUGGGAAAUUCCACACCUGUGACCUCAUGUCCUGGAUUGUAGAGAAAAACAUUUUAUGUGUAUAAGGUAUGUAUGAAACAUAAAUGAAUUUUGUGUUUAGUCUUGCAUUCCAGCCCCAGGAUCUCUCAUUAGGUAUGCAUGAAUAUUAUAAAAUAAAACACUUCCGGUCCCAAUCAUUUGUGAUAAGGGAUAUCAAACUGUGUUAUACUUGCUUGCUUUUCCUUUUAAUAUAUGGACAUGUUACCCAAUUGCUCUGAGUCUUGCUUCCUUUUCUGUAAAAUAUCACGAUACAUUGUGGGAAUUUAAUAAGUUCAAGUAUGUGACACAUAGUAAGUAUUUUCAUGCAUAUUUCUCCUUUGCUUAAAAUGUUUUCCCCAAAAGUUUAAUGCUGAGUUGCUAAAACAGAUUCAUUAAUGGAUCUAUUAGAAUAAACAAAACCAAAAUAACUAUUUUUGUAUGGUGUUAAUAGUUCUUUUCCAAAAAUAAAAGUCCCAGUGUAGGAAAAAUCCUUUCUAGAAGGAGUUUGGGGAGAAAGGAGGAAAAGACUAUGACCUAGGAGGGUGGUGUGGCCCUCACAAAGCUGAGACUGACUUCAUCUGUACCCAAUUUCAUGCCAUCCAUUUUAUUCAUUUUGUGCCCCUCAUUUGAACCCCAGAUUUCAGGUUUGAGAAAGAAAACUAAAUGGAACAUGAAAGGUAAAACAAGAUCCAGCCAAACACAGUGAGCUCUCUCUGUCUUCAAGUCAAAACUUGGACAAACCACACAGCUUCACCUGGUUUUGAGUAAAAAAAAAACCACACCGAACCACCUUUUUUAAUUCAUGGUUUCGGUUUGAAAAUGAGGUUUCAUGCAAAGCUUGCCCUAGUUUCAGAAGAGUUCUUUGGCCAAGCUCUGGCAUGUCUUCAGCUGAUGUGGACUGUACCUCACCAGAACCUCCAGGUCACCCAGUGUUAGAGGAUUGCUUCUUCUUCUGCCUCAUAAGGCCCCGGGUUGAGCAACCUUGCUUGUGCAAUAAUUAAGCUGACUGAAAACUAUCAGGCCUAUCAACAAGGAAUGAAAUCAAUUAGUUCAUCUCUUUGCUCUUGGCUUUUCUAGAAACAAGAAAAUCUUUGAAAAGCGAUGAAUCAAAAAAGGCAAGAGAGAGGAAUUGAGUCCAAAGGAGGCAAAGGGGAGAUAAAAAGCAAUUCUUAGGAAAUCCAGCUCAUCGGAGCUGUUGAGGUUAUUUUGUUGCUGAAUACACAGCAAUUUGCCUGAACUUUCCACUGAAGUCAAUUGUGCUGCAUUCAGUGUGCCUGCCCUCUUGCCUUCCCUUUGAGGGGCAAGAAGUCUUUCCUGAUGGCCUCCUCUUAGAAGAAUCAAGUUCUUUUUGUGGAAUUCUUCCCCACCAAUUUUACAUUUUCAUUGGAUCAAGUUGCAUUCCUGCACUCCAGUGAGUUGUAGGGUUGCCUUUCCUAGAAACCAACAAAUAUAAUUUGUUCAGCUUUCUGUACCCCAGCAAUUAGAAAUCCAAAAAACAGAGAGGCUUAAAAAAGAUAAAAUUUUAUUUAUUUCUUAUGGUAAUUCCAGAUGUAAGUGGCCCACGGCUGAUGUCCCAUCAUCGCUGGGAUCUCAGUUUCUUAGGUCAUUCAGUUCUACCAUCCUUAACACUUGGCUUCCACUAACAAAGAUUCCUUCAUGGCCCAGGAUGGCUGUCAGAGCUCCAGACAUAUCUACAUUCUAGCCAGAGGGAAAGGGAAGGACAAAAAUGUCUUUAAAGAGUUUCCUUCGAGGCUCCAUCCAGAGUUUAUUCACAUAACUGCCUAGCUAUGUGAAAAGAUAAGGAAUGGUAUUUUUCACCUAUACACAUUAUUGUCCUCAGUGAAAUUGAGACUCUGUUUGUAAGGAAAAACUGGACAUUGGUUGCUACACAGAAUUUGCACAAAACAGACACUUAACAAACUUGUUGGGUUGAAUUAAAUUCAUUUGGACAGCAUAAUAAUGCUGUAAAACGUACUUAACAAGCAACCAAAUAAAAACUCAGAACAGUCUCUUCAACUGAGCUAUCAGUUGAAUGGUACCUUAAGCCCCUGCUUUUUGGGCUUUCAGACUAUUAAAAGUGACAGUAGGUUUGCCUUGUGCCUUAGAGGAAAGAUCGCAGGCUCUUAGAGACAUGUGCCAUAAAAAGCCAGCUGGGUCAAUCACAGCAUGUAUGACUCUGCUAAAAUUAUAUAACAUCACUGAAACGCUUAUCUGAAAACUGGAGAUGACAGACCUACCUCCUGGUGUGGGGAAGUGAUCAAUGAGGAAGGCACAGUGUCCACUGUCUAUAAAGCCCUGCCUGAGGCCAACACCCAGUGUGUCUAGUAAACACAAAUUGGGCUCACAAAUGAGAAGAAAAGCUAACCAACCAUGGCUCCUUAGACAUCAAAACCUCCCAAAUCUGUUUCCUUUUCUGUAAAGUGAGAGCAACAUUUUUUUUAGCUUUCCAAAGUGAUAAGGAUGCUGUGAUUAAAUGGAAUAAGUGAACAAGAGCUGUUGACGUGAUAAAGCAAUUGUAAAGUUAAAAUGAAGUCACUCCAUCAGACAGUAUGUACACCAUCUUUAAUCCAUACCAGACGCUAUUAUUUAUGAGUCAGAAGUACCAAGUGACCCCAUGUUGAAGUCUCAGCACUCAGUUUGAUGACAGGCCACAUCUACACUUUUGUUAAGAAAAGAAAUCAUCCUAUUCAAGAGCAUUACAGUUCAUUAAAAAGACAAGAGAAAUUCCACACAUCUAAGAUAUAAUUAACAAGAAUUCUCAAGUGUAAGUGACAAAAGGCCACUUUGGUGGACGUGGGGGUGGGGGGGGAAGGUGGAGACCUGCUGUCAUUCUUCCUCUUGCUGCUUCUUAGAACUAUAUAGAAUAGCUUCAAAUCAUCCGAGCCACUUGUGGGAACUGUCCCUUGGCAGAAGAGCGGGUGAAGAAUCCCUCCUGCAAGUGAUGCUCAACCUUUAGCAACCCCAAAAAGGUAAAUUCCUUGUCACUAGCUUCUAGAGGCUGUUGACAAAUUGCCACUAAUCUCUUUUCUAACGAACUUCAUAAUGAGCUAUCAGAGAGCGGCCAGCAUGUCGUACUGUGAUCACUCACUGGUGUCAAUAGAGGAUUUAUACAUGGAACUUUAAUUAUAUUCUCGGGGACUCUGCUGUUUUAGCACUGUACCUUAACCAUGCAGGAAACUAGCACAGAGA